rnacentral:rRNA from 1 species
GACGAACGCUGGCGGCGUGCCUAAUACAUGCAAGUCGAGCGAAUGACGAGAAGCUUGCUUCUCUGAUUUAGCGGCGGACGGGUGAGUAACACGUGGGCAACCUGCCCUACAGAUCGGGAUAACUCAGGGAAACCUGGGCUAAUACCGGAUAAUCCUUCGAAUCACAUGUUUUGAAGUUGAAAGGCGCUUCGGCGUCACUGUAGGAUGGGCCCGCGGUGCAUUAGCUAGUUGGUGGGGUAACGGCCUACCAAGGCAACGAUGCAUAGCCGACCUGAGAGGGUGAUCGGCCGCAUUGGGACUGAGACACGGCCCAAACUCCUACGGGAGGCAGCAGUAGGGAAUCUUCCACAAUGGACGAAAGUCUGAUGGAGCAACGCCGCGUGAGUGAUGAAGGUUUUCGGAUCGUAAAACUCUAUUGUAAGGGAAGAACAAGUACGUUAGGAAAUGAACGUACCUUGACGGUACCUUAUUAGAAAGCCACGGCUAACUACGUGCCAGCAGCCGCCGUAA